UUUAGGAGAGUGGGUAUAGAGCUUUACAAAUGAGACAGUUUGAGAAGUUGAAUUUGUUUGUGGGAUAGCUGAUUGUAUGAGAUGUUUGAGUUAACAAGAUUAUUGAGUUGUCACAAAAUCCCUUGCUCAGUGUAGCACAAUUAACAUUAAAAGUAUAUAGUUAAAGCCAUAUGCAGCUAUCAUUAAUAAAGCUACGUACCCUAUGUGCCGACUUUAAGCAAAGUUAAGAGAUUCCCAAAAUCCUGUUCACGUAUGGCAUCCACGGCACAGCUUUCUUGCUCAUAAACAUCUUCCUACGUACGCCACUGCUCUCUGCAUUUCUUAGAUUUGACUCUAGUUGCUUUGUGGUGUUUCUGUUUUUGUUGCUUCAACUAGCAAUUGCUUGUAAACAUACUUUAAUUCUGUUUGUCUGCUUUUUUCAUAAGAGCACCAUCUCCAAGAAUGCCUUUAUCUCUUUAUCAGUUAAGACAGAACACGUUAUUAUGGAAUCAAUGGAUUUAGAACUUGUGUAACAACCUGUACAGGUUCGUCUGGAUUGCAUUCAUCCUGAUUUACUAUGCAUUUUAGUCAACUCAAAAAGUGCCGUCUCUCUACUUUCCUGUGUUCUGGGUAGGUCGGGGUAUUGAGAUUUCCGAUCAUCCGGCAAGCAAGCUUAAGUCGAUUCUUCUCACUCCCAUCACAAUAGUAGACAGCGUUCUUAUACCUCUUAUGGUUACAUCAGGUUUUAUUGGAAUUUUCUGUUUUCUUCUUGCGGUGUUUAAGUUCUCAAGUGCAAAUGAGUUUUCAGUUAACGAGGAUAGAACAUAAGGUUUAGCACCUCUUUGAAGCAGGUCAUUUGAUGUACAUGAAGUUCUCUUUAAUUGUUCAAAUGUACUGAGGUAGAUAUUACUAGCUAAUUAUUUGUGUUAGUACGCUACUUUCUACAAGUAAAGUUGUGCUCAU